rnacentral:rRNA from 1 species
GAUGAACGCUGGCGGCGUGCCUAAUACAUGCAAGUCGAGCGAACAGACGAGGAGCUUGCUCCUCUGACGUUAGCGGCGGACGGGUGAGUAACACGUGGAUAACCUACCUAUAAGACUGGGAUAACUUCGGGAAACCGGAGCUAAUACCGGAUAAUAUAUUGAACCGCAUGGUUCAAUAGUGAAAGACGGUUUUGCUGUCACUUAUAGAUGGAUCCGCGCCGCAUUAGCUAGUUGGUAAGGUAACGGCUUACCAAGGCAACGAUGCGUAGCCGACCUGAGAGGGUGAUCGGCCACACUGGAACUGAGACACGGUCCAGACUCCUACGGGAGGCAGCAGUAGGGAAUCUUCCGCAAUGGGCGAAAGCCUGACGGAGCAACGCCGCGUGAGUUAUGAAGGUCUUCGGAUCGUAAAACUCUGUUAUUAGGGAAGAACAAAUGUGUAAGUAACUAUGCACGUCUUGACGGUACCUAAUCAGAAAGCCACGGCUAACUACGUG